rnacentral:rRNA from 1 species
GUGCCAGCACGCCGCGGUGGAUUCCAGCUCCAAUAGCGUAUAUUAAAGUUGUUGUGGUUAAAAAGCUCGUAGUUGAACCUUGGGCCUGGCUGGCCGGUCCGCCUCACCGCGUGCACUGGUCCGGCCGGGCCUUUCCCUCUGUGGAACCCCAUACCCUUCACUGGGCGUGGCGGGGAAACAGGACAUUUACUUUGAAAAAAUUAGAGUGCUCCAGGCAGGCCUAUGCUCGAAUACAUUAGCAUGGAAUAAUAAAAUAGGACGCGCGGUUCUAUUUUGUUGGUUUAUAGGACCGCCGUAAUGAUUAAUAGGGACAGUCGGGGGCAUCAGUAUUCAACUGUCAGAGGUGAAAUUCUUGGAUCAGUUGAAGACUAACUACUGCGAAAGCUUUUGCCAAGGAUGUUUUCAUUAAUCAGGAACGAAAGUUAGGGGGAUCGAAAGACGAUCAGAUACCGUCGUAGUCUUAACCAUAAAACUAUGCCGACUAGGGAUCGGACGGUGUUAUUCAUGACCCGUUCGGCACCUUUACGAGAAUCAAAGUGCUUGGCUCCAGGGGAGGAUGGUCGCAAGCUGAAACUUAAAGAAUUGACGGAAGGGCACCACCAGGGGUGAAGCCUGCGGGCUUAAUUUGACUCAGCACGGGCAACUCACCAGGUCCAGGACACAAUAAGAUUGACAGAUGACACUCUUUCUGGAUUUUGUGUGGGUGCAUGGGCCGUUCUUAUGUCGUGGGGUGACUUGUCUGCUUAAUUGCGAUAACGAACGAGACCUUAACUUGCAAAAUAACCCCGACAUUGUCC